CCCUUAGAUGUUCUGGGCCGCACACGCGCUACACUGAAGGAGGCAGCGUGUACUCCUGGAUCGAAAGAUUUGGGUAACCCGCGAAUCUCCUUCGUGCUAGGGAUUGAGGUUUGCAAUUAACCUUCAUGAACGAGGAAUUCCCAGUAAGUGCAAGUCAUAAGCUUGCGCUGACUACGUCCCUGCCCUUUGUACACACCGCCCGUCGCUACUACCGAUUGAAUGAUUUAGUGAGGACUUCGGACUGGGACCGAUGCGGCUUUCGGGCUGCGUCGGUAUUCUGGAAAGAUGUCCAAACUGUAUCAUUUAGAGGAAGUAAAAGUCGUAACA
rnacentral:rRNA from 1 species